CUCCUCUUGUUUAUUUUUUGAGGUAGGGCCUGCCCGCUGAUAAUAUUUUUUGAAGGGCCGCGGUACUUUGACCGUGCAAAGGUAGCAUAAUCAUUAGUCUUUUAAUUGUGGGCUGGUAUGAAUGGUUUGACGAGAUACAAUCUGUCUUUUUUGGAUUUUUAUUGAAUUUGGGUUUUAAGUAAGAAUACUUAAAUUUUUUUGUGGGACGAGAAGACCCUAUAGAGUUUUACAUGUUAAGUAUUAAUUUCUUGUUUGUUUUGUUUUUUUAAUAUUUUGCUUGUUUUAUUGGGGCGAUGGGAGGAUUUAUUAAACUCCUCUUUUUUUUGUUUUAUUGAUUUAUAUUUUUUUGAUCCUUUAUUAUUGAUUUUAAGAUUAAAUUACC
rnacentral:rRNA from 1 species